UGGCUCCUGUGGCACCAGGUAUACAUGAAGUACACAGAUAUAGAUUAUAGGCAAAAUAUCCUGCUUAUGGAUUAUUUUAUGUGUAUUAAAAAUAAUUUUUUAAGCUAAAAAAAUAAAACAAACCAAAACAACAAUGACAACCAACUUUCCCCAGGGUUUAACUCCCUGAACCCAACUGUACAUUGUCUUCCUUUGUCCUCCACUCAUCCAGGAGUUCGAUGGCAAAGGUCGGUUUUGAUUGUCAACUCACUUGGAUGAAGAAACACCAAGGGCACAGCAAGUAUAGCUUUGUGUGUACCUGUCCAUGAGGGUCUUUGAAGAGAGGUUUAUCUGAGGAUGGAAGACCCACCCUUACGGUGGACAGUCUUGAAUCUCCUGGGCUAAGUGAAAAAGGAAGAUAGAAAAAAGCCAGCCCAACACUGACAUUCCCCUUCCUCUGAUUCCUGGUUAGAGACAGGAUCCAAGCCGCCGUCAUGCUUCCCCACCAUGGCCAACUGUGUUCCUCUGAACUGUGAGUCAGUCUGUUUUGCCCAGCAACGAGAAAAGUCACGGAUGCACACAUUUCUGAGGCCUGUGCUGCUUUUCCUUUCUUUUUCCUGGGUCUUCCUGAGAGCUUUCCCUUCUGAAUAACACUUGCCUAAUGCUUAUUUAUUUAUAUUUUAUGUUUAUGAGGGUUUGUCUGCAUGUAUGUAUGUGCACCUUGUGUGUGCCUGGUACCUGAAGAGGCUAGACGACGGCGUCAGAACUAGAGUGACAGAUGGUUGGGAGCUGCCAUGUGGGUGUUGGGAAUCAAAUCUGGGCGCUCUGGAAGAACCGCUCCUAACUACUGAGCCAGGGCGCAUUUAUUUAUUUCGGGCACAGAUCGGGAGUCACUAAGCACUAGAUGCCCCCCAUUCCCUUCAAGGGCUUCCUCUGGCACGCACUGAGGGCCUUGGCUGGAGCUUCGUUCCCACACUUCCUUCCCACACUCCCCCUCUGGAUCCCUGAAAAAUGUUAGGUUAAAAUAUCUCACUUCCUAAGUCUGUCUGUGGACUUCCUGAUGUUGCUGUCCGUCCCAGUGCUAAUUCUGCCACAUGAUCUCUUUGAUGUCUGGGGACUCUCACAGUAGCUAACAGACACUAUUUUCCCAGCACAGACCCAUGUUUCUCAGGCCCUAUGCCUGGGAGUGACAGCCAGACCUGUGGGUCAUAGGGUGAGGGACAAAAGGUUACAGGUCUGUUUGCUCUGUCAUCAGUGAAUGGCCACCGGGCAAAGCAAAUGAGUCAGGAGAUGAGGCUUCUACCCCUGAAGAGGGUGGUACCCAAGUCAUUCAACAAAUAUGAAACAUCUAGGGGGCGUGGGGUUCUGGACCGAGUACUGAGUAGCCUUGCCGCUGACUUGGGCGGCUAGCAAAUACACAUCUCUCAAUUGAGACCCACUCUGUGAUGCAGAUCAGGGGCCUGGCUCCUGGGGCUUGGAGCAAGGGCAAGGGCAGAGGAAAGGGGACACAGAGAUGGAGCUAGAGAAGAGAUCUACAGAUAAAAGAGUGCUCACAAAACAUCCAAGAUGUGAAUUUGGUCAUGCAGUCAAUUCUCCCGAACAGCCGAGGAACACCCCCUCCCAAAGGAAACGGAUUUAGAAGCUUCCAGUUAUGAGGGAGAGAGCAAGCCACAGCAGCAAGGUGAAGGGUUUGGCUCCAGAUCAUUCAUUCAGCCAGAGACUGAGUGGAGUUCAGGACUCUCUUAAUCCCUUCAGACAUUGUCUCGGGUAUGAAAACUGGAACCAGGAAAGCUAAGUAGGUUGGGUUUCCUGGGCAGGGAAGGACUCGUGGAUGGGGACACAAAUCAAAGGAGAGAGUGGCCAUCUGGUGUCACAGUCGUACUCGGAGCUCUUUCUUCUCCCUGCCCUUGGCCUGCUCGACGUCCUGUCUUAUCUCCCUUUUGUUUCUCUAUCUUCCUCCUCUGGUGUGCGCACGGAGCCGGCGUCUUUCCUCUUGAAUCAUUUGGUUUUCUAUUGAGUUUUGUUCCGUCAUCGAUAUGGCAGAUGGAAUGGCGGGGCCACUGUGAAGAGUUAAAAUGAGCCCGGAGGUGCGGCCUCUAUGAAGAAGGUGGUGCCCAAGCGGAAGCGCGUCAUGCCACAAAUACGAAAUGGUGAGGAUGCACGGAGUGGUCCUGCCUUGCCGCUCAGCCGGGAUUGAUGGUGUGAGGGCCAUGGAGAGAGGAGGGCAUCACCAUGGGAGGCUGUGAGGAGACAGAGCCUGAUCACCCGAACCCUCAGUUUGCUCAGUUCAUCUCUUCACUGCAAACGAAGACAGGAGAUCUGCUCACCCUCUCAGUCUCUCUGCCGAGAGACAGGCCACUUGGGAAGAAGAAAGACCCUCAGGCAGGGCUGUAAAUAGCUCUGGAAUCUGCCCUGACAGGUUGAUCCUGUGUGGACCAGCGCAGGGGCAGCCGGCCUCUGUUCCUCCUCAUGGAUUUACUGCUGCCUGUCGGACAGCUCUGAUGGCCAGAGUGCACCCUGAAGACUCCUUUGAAGUAAAGCAAGCACUUUUAAGUGCAAUCAGCUCCAGAUAACCCGGAUUCCCAGGAAUGCCUUCCCCCUCUCCAAGCCCAACCUUGGAAUCAUCCCUGACUGUCCUGGAAGUGGCUCCUAGCCUUUAGAGUCUCCGUUUGCUUUGUGGCGGCUGUGUGUUGGUUCACACCAUUCUCCUGAGCAGAGGUUGAGGGGGAUAGGUACGGUUCUAGACGACAGUCUGUGAUCAGAGUUACAGGGCAAUCCGAGGGCUGGCAAGGGAGGGAAAGACACAAAGAAAUGCCAGAAAACUCAGAAGUAGGAGUAGAGGGAAGUGUGUGACCAGGCUAGGACAUAAGGAACCAGCUCCAAUUUCCCCAACGCUUGGGGUAGUCUGAGGCUGAGGAGGCCGGAAAUCAAAGGCCUUCUGGAUGCCACAGUGGAAAUGGAAGAGGCUGUGAUAGGUGCUAGGUGCUUGGUUGAUGUCCUCACAUUAAUGCUUUCUGCAUCCAGUCAGUUCCCAUCCUGCUGUCUGUUACCACAGGCUUGCCCACUUUGGGUGUCUUGUUUAACUUGCUCAGACAGCAUUUCCUCCUGAGUGACAGCUUUUUUUUUUUUUUUUUUUUAAACUUGGCACCAUGUUCCUAAGGGCUGUCCAUACGGUGCAUGGGUCAGAGUCUCCUGAUUUUGUGAGGAGCCCACUGUGUGGAAACAGCACGUCCUCCUUCCUCCAGCCAUCCAUGGAGGGCACGAUCUGCUGAGUGCUUGUCUGAUCCCGCUAAAAGGUGAGGAUGUUUUCAUGUCUAAGAGACCCCUGGACUUGGCUCUCUCAUCGCCCUGACUUGCCAUGAUCUGGAGUUGCAACUAACGCUCUGUAUUCCUGCCGUGUUUACUACUUCUGAACAAAGGAUUUAGCUGUGAGCCUACCUUUGAUGAGCUUCUCAAAAUGAAAAUGUGAUAAGAACCACAGGUUUUAUAGUUAAAAAUAAACAAAAAUGAAAAAUC
rnacentral:sRNA from 1 species